UGGGGAAUAUUGCACAAUGGGCGCAAGCCUGAUGCAGCCAUGCCGCGUGUAUGAAGAAGGCCUUCGGGUUGUAAAGUACUUUCAGUCGGGAGGAAGGUGGUAAGGUUAAUAACCUUAUCAAUUGACGUUACCGACAGAAGAAGCACCGGCUAACUCCGUGCCAGCAGCCGCGGUAAUACGGAGGGUGCAAGCGUUAAUCGGAAUUACUUGGCGUAAAGCGCACGCAGGCGGUUGAUUGAGUCAGAUGUGAAAUCCCCGGGCUUAACCCGGGAAUUGCAUCUGAUACUGGUCAGCUAGAGUCUUGUAGAGGGGGGUAGAAUUCCAUGUGUAGCGGUGAAAUGCGUAGAGAUGUGGAGGAAUACCGGUGGCGAAGGCGGCCCCCUGGACAAAGACUGACGCUCAGGUGCGAAAGCGUGGGGAGCAAACAGG
rnacentral:rRNA from 1 species